UCGGCCCCGGUUCACGUGCGGCAGCCGGCCGCUCGACCCGGUGCC
rfam:Streptomyces vitaminophilus strain ATCC 31673 Contig19, whole genome shotgun sequence.